rnacentral:lncRNA from 1 species
GAAAAUGUUUGGAAAUCCCUUUAAGAUUGUUAGUUCCUCCCCUCCUCCCCCAAAGAAAAAGUAACAAGUACAACAAAUACCAGUUCACUACUUGAGACCCUGCACGUGCAGUAGGGAGAGCGGGACUGCUGCCAGUUGAUGGAGGAUGAGUGGAGGUUUAUGUGCUCAAUCCAAAUUUUUUAGUGCUUAAGAUUUGCUUAACAGAAAAAAAAAAAAAAAAAAUUUUUCUUUCACCCUUUAUUCAAUAAUUUUUUAAUCUCUUUUUUAUCAAGGGGGUUUGGGGUGGAGACGACUUUCUUUAGAACUUUUAAGAAUGAGGUGUAGCUUAGCAUAUCUUUGGCUUGAAAGGGUAGUUUUUUUGAAUAUUUCUUAACAUCCUAUUACUUUUCGUUCUAGAAUUCUCUCGACCCUGCCUAUGAAUUAUUAGAAAAGCAAUAAGAAAUUAAGACUUGAAAUUUUUUGAACUAUGGUCCCUCCAUUAGUGUUCCAAAGUUCUUCUCUGUAGGCUCCAUGCUCCACUACUGGGGUGAAUUCAGAAGAGGGUGGAGACUAGAGGGUGCAAUGACCCCCACCCCCCUUCCUCCACAAACAUUUGGGACUUUGUACCUCAAUAGUUUGUCUUUUGGAAAAUGUUUGGAAAUCCCUUUAAGAUUGUUAGUUCCUCCCCUCCUCCCCCAAAGAAAAAGUAACAAGUACAACAAAUACCAGUUCACUACUUGAGACCCUGCACGUGCAGUAGGGAGAGCGGGACUGCUGCCAGUUGAUGGAGGAUGAGUGGAGGUUUAUGUGCUCAAUCCAAAUUUUUUAGUGCUUAAGAUUUGCUUAACAGAAAAAAAA